GACGAACGCUGGCGGCGUGCUUAACACAUGCAAGUCGAACGGAAAGGCCCUGCUUUUGUGGGGUGCUCGAGUGGCGAACGGGUGAGUAACACGUGAGUAACCUGCCCUUGACUUUGGGAUAACUUCAGGAAACUGGGGCUAAUACCGGAUAGGAGCUCCUGCUGCAUGGUGGGGGUUGGAAAGUUUCGGCGGUUGGGGAUGGACUCGCGGCUUAUCAGCUUGUUGGUGGGGUAGUGGCUUACCAAGGCUUUGACGGGUAGCCGGCCUGAGAGGGUGACCGGCGUCCAGGGUACUGAGAUAGGGACCAGUCGCCUACGGGAGGCAGCAGUGGGAAAUAUUACGCAAUGGGCGGGAGCCUGAUGCAACAGCGUCGCGUGCGGGAUGACGGCCUUCGGGUUGUAAACCGCUUUCGCCUGUGACGAAGCGUGAGUGACGGUAAUGGGUAAAGAAGCACCGGCUAACUACGUG
rnacentral:rRNA from 1 species